rnacentral:lncRNA from 1 species
CGAAAUUGAUAAAGAAAGAACAAGGUUUCAAGAGAACAAAUCUCUCUCUCCCUAAAAGCUAAAGCAAAAACAAUGAAAGUAUGAAGUAAAUAAUUCGGUUCUCUAAGGUUACACGAUUUCUUGGGCUCCUAAGACAUGUAUUUAUAGUGCUCAAGAUCUCUCUAGACGUCACUUAGGGUUUCUCCAAAUGUGGGCUUCAGAAAUGGGUUUUUUGGGCUCGGAGGUUGAAGGCCGCGGUCGGGACAAGUGUGACCGCGGUGGAUGAGUGGUUUGCCGUGGUCGGGAUGCUUCUGACCGCG